UAAUAAUCGAGAUAUAAAUUUUUUAAAUUAUGCGAAUGAGAGCACGCCUUGCGCGCCGAAGGAAGGGCUCGAGCCGCUCGAGCCAUAGCACGGCCUACACUGUUAAAAAAGAUAUGAAAUUUACAAUACAUUUACGAUACCACGGUAAAUGAAUUUUACAAACUGGGUAUCUGAAAUACAAAUUCUUGCACUUAUAUAGCUAAAUUCCUACACGAUCAUCAAUUUUAAUCACUAAUAUGAAAUUUAAUACACACAUCAUUGAAUAUUAAAAACCCGUUUAAGAUUUUAUGGAAUACGCAAAGUAAUAAUACAUAUUUUCGAUUGAAAAUGAGAACAUUUGUAUAUGAAUUUAUUUGUUGCAAACAAAACAUUGAAAAUACAAUACAACUUUGGAUUUUAAUUGCGGCAAACUGAAAAAUACGAUACACUUGAAAUUGAAUAUUAUGAUAUGCAUAAUCUUUCUUUACAACUAUUGUCUUUUAAAAUUGCAAAGCGCGAAUGAAAUCAAGAAUUCAUAUAUAUUUCAUGGUAAAAUUCAUUAUUAUAUAUGAAUCGUUAUACCUACGUAGUAUAAAAUUUGUAUAGACAAUGCGCAAAAUUUGGAUCAUAUACCCUAAAUAUAAUAAAUAAAUAAAAAACGAGAAAGUGCCAACGACGGUCAUAGCAGAUCUUAAUGCUCAAUAUAUUUUAUACAAUGACGCCACGUGAAAAGCGGAGAUGUGACAUACUUUGAGAUUUGUAUAUUUUGAGACCAAAGAUGAUGCCAACUUUGAUGAGACUUGAUGGGCCUAUGCACCCUGCUUGUCAUGCAUGCGCAUGGGAAAAGCCAUGUGUUCAGCUAUGCACAUGCGCAGAGCACGCGAACGCGUGCAUACACGGCACUUCUCCACACGUGCCAUGCAGACUGCAGAGGCCCAGAUUUGACGAGACGCAAUCAGCUCCCAUAAUUGUGCCUUCCUCAACCAUUGAAAUCGUGGUCAUCUCCUGAGGGACAGCAAGUUAAGAAGUGAGAUUUUGCGAUAGCCGAACAAAGAAAACCAGACGAAUACGUAUAACUGCGCUCUAGAGUGUGCCGGCGAAUCAGCCAUUAACUCUCGAUUCGCCAAAGCAGUGUUACAGUGCACAGUGAAUAAAUCGAUUUAACUACGAGGAAUAAAAAUUGAGUAUUACUUCAAAUAAAUCUCCAAACUGGACAUAAGCGAAAGGACAAAAAAAGAAAGUCACUGUCUUAUGAUGGUUCCGUGAUGAAGCUAGCUAAUGCUUGGAGGCUUUAAAAGACGAUUUCUAAAGUCGACUAUCGUUGUAUAACGAUUUAGAAUCGUAUUAAAACGAUCAGUAUUAUUACCAAACGCCAAAAAAUUGUACUGUUUCAAGCAUUGGCUGCCGGCGGCGGCGGGGGAAAGAAGGAGAAGCGUGGCGUC